rnacentral:misc_RNA from 1 species
GAUGAAGAACGCAGCGAAAUGCGAUAAGUAAUGUGAAUUGCAGAAUUCAGUGAAUCAUCGAAUCUUUGAACGCACAUUGCGCCCGCCAGUAUUCUGGCGGGCAUGCCUGUUCGAGCGUCAUUUCAACCAUCAAGCCCCCCGGCUUGUGUUGGGGACCUGCGGCUGCCGCAGGCCCUGAAAAGCAGUGGCGGGCUCGCUGUCACACCGAGCGUAGUAGCAUACAUCUCGCUCUGGGCGUGCUGCGGGUUCCGGCCGUUAAACCACCUUCAUAACCCAAGGUUGACCUCGGAUCAGGUAGGGAGACCCGCUGAACUUAAGCAUAUCAAUAAGCGGAGGA